CCAAUCUCUCAUCUUGGGUGAGGUACUUCAUGCUCAGCGUGCUGUAAAUGUCCCGUAACUCUUGAGCGCGGAUGGUGUAUGGUGUGUCCAUUUCAGUAACUUUACCGUCGAAAGCUUUCCACUUUUUGGGGGCAGCAGCCUGUUACGACAAAAAAACAAGCUGUUAUUUUCGGCAUGGUUGAUUUAAGAAAAAAAUCACGGUGGGUUGUCCUGUGUUCAAAUGUUUCCAGUGCAUAUUGGCUCAGUUUAGUUCGUUCAGUUUGGCAUUAAGUCAACAGAGGACCAAAGCAACAGAAAACCGGGCCACGAUGUUGAAUCAUCGAUUAACACUAUCAGAUCGCCCUGGACUUGAAAGCAGUAAUGAGGCACAAACUUCGACAAACCUUGUUCAAGAAGUUCUUGAUCCUUUUGUCGUUGUUUUCUUCAUCAGCAACCAGUUUAUGCCGAUCAAUGGAGGCAAUAAGAAAGUCAAGACAGAAUAAAGGUAAACUCACAGCUGUAGAAGAGUCUACAUGCAGAAGAAAAAUGUCACAGAAGGGAAUUUGACAACAGACUGAAGCAUUAUAAUUGAUAGAUGUACUUCCAAAGUAGAGAUUUCCGAGAAUGUUACCAUUUGUGUGGAUGUUGUAUUUGUGGUCUGCUGAAGUCUGUUUCUCAAUUUGUAUGUUUGUGUGUCUCGAUGAAACUUCUCAACAGAUGAAGGCACACGGAUCUUUGGUAAAGUUUGUGCAGCUGCAUUGUGGAACUCUGUCCCUGUCAGUCUGUGUCUGUAGCCUCCCAAGAAUGGUUUUUUCCUGUUCUCUUGGACAAUAUGAACCACAAGCUCAACCUCCUUUCCACCUGAAAAAAAAGGAAAAAACACAGAAGGUCAAUGAAAUACAGUACACCUCAGAGAUAGAUGGCCUGAACGCGCACACAAGAUCUUUGAAUGUUUUUUGCCUGUUCUAAGAAUACACUUCCAUGACUUUCCAACACAAAAUCAAAGCAGCUAUCCACAUUCAAUGGAGCAACCUACACUUAAUCAUCAACUUUAUCAUCAUGAUUUUAAUUAAAAACUUUCCUUGUAAAUGCAUCCAUUGUUUUGUUACUAUCAUUUGUUUUCUC